rnacentral:rRNA from 1 species
AUUGAACGCUGGCGGCAGGCCUAACACAUGCAAGUCGAGCGAGCGGCGGACGGGUGCGUAAUGUAUGGGGACUGCCCGAUAGCGGGGGAUAACUACUGGAACCGGUGGCUAAUACCGCAUACGUUCGGCUAACCAAGAUGGGAUUAGCUAGUAGGUAAGGUAAUGGCUUACCUAGGCGGCGAUCCCUAGCUGGUCUGAGAGGAUGAUCAGCCACACUGGGACUGAGACACGGCCCAGACGCCUACGGAGGCAGCAGUGGGGAAUAUUGCACAAUGGGCGCAAGCCUGAUGCAGCCAUGCCGCGUGUAUGAAGAAGGCCCUAGGGUUGUAAAGUACUUUCAGUCGGGAGGCGUUACCGACAGAAGAAGCACCGGCUAACUCCGUGCCAGCCGCCGCGGUAAUUC